AACCUUUUGACCAUCGCAGCACUGCAGGGGUAAGGCAGGGACCAGGCAGGGACCAGGAGGGCCGGCGGAGGGGGAGGUACGAAAAGUUUCCCCUGCUGGAGACUCAUAAGGAGCUGUAGGACCGGCCCACACAAUGCAGUUACAGCCCAUGCAUGACACAAGGCUGUAAGCCAUCUCAACUACUCAGAGAAGAACGCAUCUCCCUCAAAUUCAGGCCUGUUUUUAAUACCCUGCGUGAUUCGACACGAAGCCCAACUCCAUGGAUCGAGAAAGGUGCAUGUUGUUCAAGAUGGCUGCAACAGCGCUGAUUCAAACCUGUGUUAGCAGGAAGAUACAUUCCUGUCGUGAGCAGAUGAACGGACCUUCAGAAAAGUGAACACCCGCAACUUCUGUUGUCAUCUUCCCUUGUGGUGAUGGAAGCCAACAUUAAGCCAGUGGACAAAACCAGCCUUUAAACAUGAAAACAACAACAACAACUGGAGAGUCAGAUGUUCCCUCUCUCAGCGAGGUGUCUGGCUGAAGAAAAACAACAUUACUGAAAUGCGGAACAAGAUCACAAAAGCGUUAUUGCUGUUUGACAAGCUUUGGAAAUAUUUGGAUAUGAGCCUGCUUGCUUUGGAAAAUUCCUUCCCACGGUUUCAUCCAAUUAUUUAUAAUCUAUUCUUUACAGAUGAUACAUGUAACACACACUAGUAGUUCUGGGUAGUGAUAUUGAUUUGCUAAAAGCUGUGAAAAGACCUCAUAUUAUCUUGUACUGGAAAAAACAUAAAGCUGUGCCAUUUUGGCUUUUCCUUUUG